UCUGAGGUCAGUUUGGUGUGAUUGGCUGGUUCUGAGGUCAGUCUGAUGUGAUUGGCUGGUUCUGAGGUCAGUCUGAUGUGAUUGGCUGGUUCUGAGGUUAGUGCGAUUGGCUGGUUCUGAUGUCAGUCUGGUGUGAUUGGCUGGCUCUGAGGUUAGUGUGAUGCGAUUGGCUGGUUCUGAGGUCAGUCUGAUGCGAUCGGCUGGUUCUGAGGUCAAUCUGAUGUGAUUGGCUGGUUCUGAGGUUCUGAGCUCAGUCUCAUGUGAUUGGCUGGUUCUUAGGUCAGUCUGAUGUGAUUGGCUGGUUCUGAGGUCAGUCUGAGCGAUUGGCUGGUUCUGAGGUCAGUCUGAGCGAUUGGCUGGUUCUGAGGUCAGUCUGAUGCAAUCGGCUGGUUCUGAGGUCAAUCUGAUGCGAUCGGCUGGUUCUGAGGUCAAUCUGAUGUGAUUGGCUGGUUCUGAGGUUAGUCUGAUGUGAUUGGCUGGUUCUGAGGUCAGUCUGAUGUGAUUGGCUGGUUCUGAGGUCAGUCUGGUGUGAUUGGCUGGUUCUGAGGUCAGUCUGGUGUGAUUGGCUGGUUCUAAGGUCAAUCUGAUGCGAUCGGCUGGUUCUGAGGUUAGUGCGAUUGGCUGGUUCUGAUGUCAGUCUGGUGCGAUCGGCUGGUUCUGAGGUUAGUGCGAUUGGCUGGUUCUGAUGUCAGUCUGGUGCGAUUGGCUGGUUCUGAGGUCAGUCUGGUGCGAUUGGCUGGUUCUGAGGUUAGUGUGAUGCGAUUGGCUGGUUCUGAGGUCAGUCUGAUGCGAUCGGCUGGUUCUGAGGUCAAUCUGAUGUGAUUGGCUGGUUCUGAGGUUAGUCUGAUGUGAUUGGCUGGUUCUGAGGUUCUGAGCUCAGUCUCGUGUGAUUGGCUGGUUCUUAGGUCAGUCUGAUGUGAUUGGCUGGUUCUGAGGUCAGUCUGAGCGAUUGGCUGGUUCUGAGGUCAGUCUGAUGCAAUCGGCUGGUUCUGAGGUCAAUCUGAUGCGAUCGGCUGGUUCUGAGGUCAAUCUGAUGUGAUUGGCUGGUUCUGAGGUCAGUCUGGUGUGAUUGGCUGGUUCUUAGGUCAGUCUGAUGUGAUUGGCUGGUUCUGAGGUCAGUCUGGUGUGAUUUGGCUGGUUCUGAGGUCAGUCUGGUGUGAUUGGCUGGUUCUGAGGUCAAUCUGAUGCGAUCGGCUGGUUCUGAGGUUAGUGUGAUUGGCUGGUUCUGA